GUCAGGUUGGCCGAGUGGUCUAAGGCGCCAGAUUUAAGCUCUGGUUCACGAACGUGAGCGUGGGUUCGAACCCCACACCUGACA
rnacentral:tRNA from 1 species